rnacentral:rRNA from 1 species
UACCAGACUCCUACGGGAGGCAGCAGUGAGUAAUAUUGGUCAAUGGGCGAGAGCCUGAACCAGCCAAGUCGCGUGAGGGAAGACGGCCCUACGGGUUGUAAACCUCUUUUGUCAGGGAGCAAGAACAGAUACGUGUAUCUGAGCGAGAGUACCUGAAGAAAAAGCAUCGGCUAACUCCGUGCCAGCAGCCGCGGUAAUACGGAGGAUGCGAGCGUUAUCCGGAUUUAUUGGGUUUAAAGGGUGCGCAGGCGGCACGGCAAGCCGGCGGUCAAAUCGCGGGGCUCAACCCCGCCCAGCCGUCGGAACUGCCGGGCUAGAGUGGGCGAGAAGUGCGCGGAAUGCGUGGUGUAGCGGUGAAAUGCAUAGAUAUCACGCAGAACUCCGAUUGCGAAGGCAGCGCACCGGCGCCCUACUGACGCUCAGGCACGAAAGCGUGGGUAUCGAACAGGAUUAGAUACCCCGGUAUA